rnacentral:rRNA from 1 species
UGGGGAAUUUUGGACAAUGGGGGCAACCCUGAUCCAGCCAUGCCGCGUGAGUGAUGAAGGCCUUCGGGUUGUAAAGCUCUUUUGGCGGGGACGAUGAUGACGGUACCCGCAGAAUAAGCCCCGGCUAACUUCGUGCCAGCAGCCGCGGUAAGACGAAGGGGGCUAGCGUUGUUCGGAAUUACUGGGCGUAAAGCGCGUGUAGGCGGUUGUUCAAGUCGGGUGUGAAAGCCUUGAGCUCAACUCAAGAAAUGCACUCGAUACUGGAUGACUUGAGGACCGGAGAGGAUAGUGGAAUUCCCAGUGUAGUGGUGAAAUACGUAGAGAUUGGGAAGAACACCAGUGGCGAAGGCGGCUAUCUGGACGGUUUCUGACGCUAAGACGCGAAAGCGUGGGGAGCAAAC